GGGGCAUUAGUAUAUCGGUUAAUUAUUCCUGGCUUCCAACCAGGGGAGGUCGGUUCGAUUCCGACAUGUCCCUCCA
rnacentral:tRNA from 1 species